rnacentral:rRNA from 1 species
GAACGCUGGCGGCAAGCUUAACACAUGCAAGUCGAACGGACCGUACGCGCAGCUUGCUGCGUGUAUGGUUAGUGGCAGACGGGUGAGUAAUGCAUAGGAAUCUGCCUAGUAGUAUAGGAUAGCCACUAGAAAUGGUGGGUAAUACUGUAUAAUCCCUGCGGGGGAAAGAUUUAUCGCUACUAGAUGAGCCUAUGUCAGAUUAGCUAGUUGGUGGGGUAAUGGCCCACCAAGGCUGUGAUCUGUAGCUGGUCUGAGAGGAUGAUCAGCCACACUGGAACUGAGACACGGUCCAGACUCCUACGGGAGGCAGCAGUGGGGAAUAUUGGACAAUGGGCGCAAGCCUGAUCCAGCUAUGCCGCGUGAGUGAGGAAGGCCUUAGGGUUGUAAAACUCUUUCAGUAGGGAAGAUAAUGACGGUACCUACAGAAGAAGUCCCGGCAAACUCGGG